rnacentral:rRNA from 1 species
UUCUAAGGGCGUUGAAGCAUGAUCGUAAGGACAUGUGGAGCGUUUAGAAGUGAGAAUGCCGGUGUGAGUAGCGAAAAAGGGAUGAAGAUACCGUCCACGGAUUGACUGAGGUUUCCAGGGGAAGGGUCGUCCGGUCUGGGUUAGUCGGGUCAUAAGCCAGGGCCGACAGUCGUAGGCGAUGGAUAACAGGUUGAUAUUCCUGUACCGCCAAUGAUCGUUUUAAGCGAUGGGGGGACACAGUAGGAUAGGCGAAGCGUGCUGUUGGAGUGCACGUCCAAGCAGUGAGACUGAAUGGUAGGCAAAUCCGCCAUUCUUAAGGUCAAGCUGUGAUGGGGAGAGGAAACAUGUUUUCCUCGAGUCGUUGAUUUCACACUGUCGAGAAAAGCCUCUAGCUAGAGAUUUGGCGCCCGUACCGCCAACCG